rnacentral:rRNA from 1 species
GACGAACGCUGGCGGCGUGGAUUAGGCAUGCAAGUCGAACGGUAUCAUCCUUUCGGGGGUGAGAGAGUGGCGAACUGGUGAGUAACACGUAGGUUAUCUACCCUCAAGACGGGGACAACCCAGGGAAACUUGGGCUAAUACCGGAUGUGAGCAACUUUUAGUUGUUUGAAAGGUGGCGUAAGCUGUCGCUUGGGGAUGAGCCUGCGUCCUAUUAGUUAGUUGGUGAGGUAACGGCUCACCUAGGCAAUGAUAGGUAGGCGGCCUUAACGGGUGGUCGCCCACACUGGGAUUGAGAUACGGCCCAGACUCCUACGGGAGGCAGCAGUCGAGAAUAGUCUACAAUGGUCGGAAGACUGAUAGUGCGACGCCGCGUGAACGAUGAAUCCCUUCGGGGUGUAAAGUUCUUUUAUAUGUGAGCAGUGCUUCUUAUAUUAACAGUAUGGGGAGAGAGAUAUUAGCAUAUGAAUAAGCAACGGCUAACUCCGUGCCAGCAGCCGACGGUAAUAC